rnacentral:tRNA from 3 species
GGAGAAAUGGCGGAAUAGGCAGACGCACCAUUAGAUGACAGGAAGGCCAACCUUGGAUGUGGCGGACCUGGCAACUCAUCCCGGUUCGAAUCCGGGUUUCUCCACCA